rnacentral:SRP_RNA from 3 species
CGCCAGGCUUGGUCGGGGAGCUAGGCCCUCCCUCUUGCUUUCAGCAAGCCGCAGAAUGGUCUACAGCGGGACGACAGGCCGGGGGCGGCACAACCAGUACACCAUCGGUCCAAGGGACGACGAUGAAGUAACGUCCUACGGGGUUGGAAGUGAUGUUCGGGGCGGCCGGAGGGUCGCUUCGCCAUCUUGACUACGGGGACCGGGUCAGGCCCGGAAGGGAGCAGCCUAACCGUAGAUUCUCAACGCUCGUUGGGAGCCGGGAUGGAGGAGUCCCGAGGAUCCACCGGUGGCGGACCAGGGUGUCCACUCCGGUCGGCCUGGCA